AAAAGAAACGCAAUUUCUGGAUUAUUUCCCAAAUUGAAUUUUGCAGUUUUGGAUGGAUUGAAGUGUGCCAAUUCACGUGAAUGAAUGGGUGAAGCAUGAAGGUUUCAGUGGCUACCGUUAGCAAUUUAGCAUCACUGACCAUGCUCAGAUUAUUUCCUCCAAAUAUUUAGUGGUAAUUCUGAUGUCUGAUAAUAACUUUGGUAAUUCCAUUAAUUUGAAUUCAAUAUUGUAUAAUUAUGAAUUUGCUCUUGAAGCUGAAAAUCUCUCUACUGGAUGUGUUGUGUCCCCUCGGAAUAGAUUGCUAAUGUGCUCUGAGUAUGCAAAAUUAGAUAAUCCUCAUUGACUGUUUUAGAUAUUAGAUACACAGAAUAUGCUUUAGCAUGAUUCCAUUAUCCAUUUUAAGGACAUAUAUAAACGAUAGCUUAAUUGCUUUUUCCCGUAUAUGAUAACAAUAGCUCUUGUAUCUGUGCAGUUAUCAUGAUCUACUGUUUACAGAACCAUCUUGGUGAAAUCCUUGAGCUUAAUUCCAAGCUUACUGAAGCUCCUGGCAUGGUAAUUCUCUUAUUCAACUAUGUACAACUGCUUUAAUUUCUUUCUUGAUGCUGAGAAACUAUAAGGAAAAUAAAAAGAAAAGUAAACAAUAUUUUACCCUGGCAUCUCACUUUUAACAUCUUUGCCAUCGAAGAACAACUCAAGCCGAUAGUCCAAUCAGGAUUAGAAUCCUUGAUGGGUCCUCAGGACUGAACCAAAUUCUGUUAGGAAGGAAAUGCGCUUCCCACUAAAAUUUUCGACUAUUAUUUCCAAUUUUAUUAUGGAAAGAGGCUAUUUUUUUUUUUUUUUAUUGAAAAUGACUGAUUUUAGCAAAACGCGUCCAUGUAGGAGUGUUUUUGGGAGAAAUUCAGCAAAACGCGUCCCUGGAGUAGCGAUUUUGCCAUGUCAGCACAAAAUGCGCCCGGAUGCGCUUUGCUGACGUGGCAAAAUCUCUCCCCCAGGAACGCGUUUUAGCCAGUGUUUUUUUCCCAAUGGCUAUUUGAUUUUUUGACCGUUGGGGGGUCCAACGGUAAAAAAAAAAACCUAUAAAACUCCUCCCUCCUAUUUUUCACAAAUAUUUCUUCAAUUUUCUCUCAAAUUUCUCAAAACUCUCUUAAUUUUGGCAAAAAGCUCUUUAUUUUUUUAUAAUUUCAAAAAUAUUUGAGCACGUUAGCAAUGGCCGAGAAAUUAAUUCGUCUCGAUCAUAAACAUAUCUUCGUCGUACAAAUGAAAAUGGUAAGAGUUAAUUUUAAUUUUCAAUAUUAUUUAAUAUUUUUUCAUUUAUGUAAAUUUAAUUAAUUUUUAUUUUAUAAUUUUUAUAACAGUUUGUAGAUCGGGUGUUACAAUGCUAUAUUCGUUAUAUGUCUGGUCCUCCAUCACUGUUGAUAGAGAAUUACUUGCGGGAAGCGGGUUUUUGACACUUAACC
rnacentral:lncRNA from 1 species